rnacentral:lncRNA from 1 species
GUGUCUCCAUAUUGUUAUUGAAUGAAACAUCGGUUCCUUUGCUUAACUCUUUCUAUUUCUUUAUUUUAAUCUUGUUCUAUUUGUUAUCAAAUAUUUCAUAUUACAUCAUUAAAUCUCAAUUUUUACGUUGCCUUCUGAUCCAACAAAGUGGUUUCAGAGCUGUUCCGCCUUCAACAAGUGGUAUUAGAGCUAGGCUACAAAUUCUUCGUGAUUUGAUUGAGAUUUUUUCAGAAGUAGUUAUUUUGAAAUAUGAUAUUUCGCUGCUGGAUCGCAAUACGAGAUUUUUGAAAUGGCAAGUAAAGAUGAGGGCUAUUUUGAUGCAGAUGAAUUUAGAUGAUGCGUUGCUGGGUUUUGAUAAGAUGCUAACUGAUUGGACAACAGAAGAAUAGGAAUGCUCUAUCGCAGAUUCAUCUUCAACUCUCCAAUAAUAUUCUGCAGGACAUCUUAAAGGACAAUACAACGACGGCUUUGUGGUUAAAACUGGAACAAUUGUGCAUGAUGAAAAAUCUUCGGAACAAAUUGCAUCUUAAGUAACCCGACCGGUUUGGGUCAGUUUUUUGCUAUUUUUUACGUGGGUUUUAAGUUGUGGGUUGUGUAGUCGAGUCAGGUUGGGUUGUGGGUUAACCAAUGAAACCCGAUCAGACCCAACCCACCCCAACUCGAUUACAUUAAAAAUAGAAAAAAAAAGAAGGAAAAUGACACAAAUGAAAAAAGCCCUAAAAUUUUACACUCUUCAGUUUCUCUUCUUCACUCCCAGCCAAAAUAUGAAGCCCUAGUCUCUUUGUCCGUCAAUUUUCUCUUAAUCUUCUCUCAAAUGCUAGAUUCAUAUGCUACAAAAUGAUGCAAAAAUGAAACAACUCAUGAAAAUCAAGCAACACUUCGAAGACUAUGUGGAGAAACGAAGGUGUCUCGCUCGCAAAGAUGUUUCGGCUUUCUUUUCUCCUACAUGGUGCACCCCAUUUGAGAAUCUAUCUUGGGUUGCUUACUGCAAGGCCAUCCUCGUCUUUAGCCUCGUUUAUGCAUUUUUUUUUUUAUUAUCUAAAAUUGACUCUAGACUUCAAUAGUUUCUUCAAGGUUCGGUUGAAUUUUCUGUUGUGUUGUUACUUCAAGAGUUUUCUCCUUUUAAGUGGCAGGAAAUUACAAUCAUGUAAUGGUGUCUUGCUAUACUAAAACAGAGUUCAAUUUGUUUAAAAAUUAAGGAAAUGUAGAAGGGAUGAAAAUCUUAUAAUUCAAGCAGUUUGAACGUUGUUUCAAUUCUAUGUUUUCUAUUUAUUUUAUUUAUUGUAGUAUUAUUUGUUUUGUUUAGGUCAAAGGUUCAAUUGGUUGCAUGAAGUUGUGUUGAAUCUGAUUGUCUAGAGAGAAUCAAUCUUUUGCAAGACAAAAA